rnacentral:misc_RNA from 1 species
AAGUCGUAACAAGGUCUCCGUUGGUGAACCAGCGGAGGGAUCAUUAGCGAGUUAAUUACAAACUCCAAACCCAUGUGAACAUACCUACUGUUGCCUCGGCAGGCCGUGCUGCGCGGCUGGAUCGCCCCCCCGCGUGGGCAGCUACCCUGGAGUAGCUACCCUGUAGCGGGAGCGGCCCGCCCCGCGGCGCGCCAACAGGCCUGCCGAAGGACCCCUAAACUCUGUUUUGCACCUGUAUCUCUGAGUUUAUUAUACAAAUAAGUUAAAACUUUCAACAACGGAUCUCUUGGUUCUG